rnacentral:rRNA from 1 species
CUUGGUCAUUUAGAGGAAGUAAAAGUCGUAACAAGGUUUCCGUAGGUGAACCUGCGGAAGGAUCAUUAUUGAUUUUUAAAGAUGUGCUGGCACUCCUUCACCGGUUUGCAUGUGCACUCUGCAAAAUCUCCUUCUCUUACCCCACUGUGCACACCCAAGUAGACAAACAGAGUUACAGAGCAAUCUGUGUAAUUCCUGAUUUGCCUAUGUUUUUAUCAAACACCAAUAACAAUAUCAGAAUGAUCUAUAUAGUAAGCUCUUAACAAGCUGAAAUUUAAUACAACUUUCAACAAUGGAUCUCUUGGUUCUCGCAUCGAUGAAGAACGCAGCGAAAUGCGAUAAGUAAUGUGAAUUGCAGAAUUCAGUGAAUCAUCGAAUCUUUGAACGCACCUUGCACCCUUUGGUAUUCCGAAGGGUACACCCGUUUGAGUGUCAUUGUAAUCUCACUACGAUCGACUUUUACGGUCUUUUCGUAUGUGGACUUGGAUGCUGCCGUGGAUAUCCUACGGCUCGUCUGAAAUGCCUGAGUGUACCCCGCCUUGCGGCGUAUUCGGUGUGAUACAUCUUCACCGGAGUUGAUCUUUUUUGAAUCGCGUCUGUUUGGUGUGGCUCUAUGCUUCCAACAGUCCCUUCAUGGGACAAUCUCUGACAAUUUGACCUCAAAUCGGGUGGGACUACCCGCUGAACUUAAGCAUAUCAAUAAGCGGAGGA